GUUUUUCUCUCGCUCACACAACGCGCUGGCUAAUUGACUCAAUUGGGCCUCUAACUUAGAAACGGCUUGCACGUUAGAAUGCAAAAUUUGCCUAUCUUGGGUUAGGGUUGUCAUGAAAGUAUGUUGAGAUUGAGUCAAAUUAGUUUGCGAUUUAACUAAGGCUUCCAAACUCUUUUCUAAAGAAUUAAGACGUUUAUCCGAAUCAUUAAAACCGGGAGGAUUCAAAGG
rnacentral:lncRNA from 1 species